GAAAUUUGCAAAUGCGUAGAAGUAUUUUUGGACAUUUUUGUGGAGUUAUUUUUAUGGUUUUCAUCGUUUUAAUGUUUAAAUAUCCUUAGUGAGGGAUAUACAAUGUAACAGAUAAUAAGCAGAGAAAUGUUAAUACGCACAGGUGAUUAUAUUUAAAUUUUUUAGUGAAAUUCAUGUAUUUAAAUUUUCCGGUAUAAUCAAAUUAAAACAAUAAAAAUAAAUGUUUAAUUAAAAAGUAGUGAGAUGAUCUGAAACAAUAAUGCAUGUAUUCUAUGAAUGUUCUUUAUGUUUUGUAGGUAAUGAUGAGUUAUUUGGAAAGAACGCCUGCUGUGACUUAAAUUCAUUCCAAAUAUACAAUCAAUUCGGCAAAACAGGGAAAGGAUUGUUUAAAGAAUAUUUAGUUAUAAUUAGAGUCAUGAAUAUAUCAAAUGAAGAAGUAAUUAAAUAAGAUAUAUCGAAUAAAAUCAAAUGAAAUAUAUAGCGUUAACACGUGGUUACAAGACUAGUUCAAGCCGAGAUGGACAUCUUUCAUAAUUUUCAUCUCUGUCAAAUAAUGGUGGCAAAUAAGGAUAGACCUGGUAAAACUUUAAGUGAUUACAAACUUAAAUUUAAAUUGCAAUAAUGGUGACUCAGUGAUAUGUAAGUCAUUCAUUAAGUGUUCGGAGGAGACAUACAGUUAACGAAAAAUGUGAUCAAAAGUAAUUCAAGAAAGUAUGAGGAUAUAACCAAUGACUGCAUAGAUAUAUGUCGAUACAUAACCGGAAAAAGUCGCAGUUCUACACUUCAUUGUGAUUCUUUAGUAUUUGGAAGCAAAUACAAGGUCUUUCUAUUGCUGGAAUGUAUAAGAGAACAAUUUGAAAUCUGACCAAAAACAAUGUAAAAUACAUGUCGUACAUUUAUGAUAGAUUUUAUUGAUUGAUGUUCAAGAUGACUUGUGAUCAAAUUUUGAAGGUUAACAAUUAACUCUUUUGUAAAAAAUAAAGGCAUACACAAACAACUUGGUAAUGCUUAUAUUAGCGAGUGUAAUAAAAAUAUAUUUAAGUAGUACUUAUUACUGGACGUGCCAAAGGUAACGAAUGCUGAAAAAUUGAGUGCAAACAAUAUAAAGCUGAAUGUGAUUCAGAAGAAUUCCGUGCAAAACCGUGUGUUGUGAAUCGCUUUAACAUAAGGAUAAAGAUGAUUAUUGCAAUCCACCUCUUAACUGCGGAUGGUGUCUCAUAAUCAAUGACAACGCUCAUACUCUCUCUUUAUUAUAUAUCAAGCAUACGAAAUUUCUAGAAUAG
rnacentral:lncRNA from 1 species